CCUGCCUCCCUUGCCUGCCUCCCGAAUCUUCCCUCUUUCACCCAAAAAAUUGUUUCAUCUUCCACCCGCCGCGUCUCCUGCUCGCGGCCACCCCCUCCCUCCUAGCGUUGAUGGAAGAAGCAUGGCCGGCCCUCGGCCCGACGGGCUGCGACGCGGCCUUCCCACCCCCGCCCCAGCCCCCGUGGCGUGGGGCGCGACCGCGACGCGGCGAGAGACGGUGGCCAAGGAAUCGUCCGCGCAGGCGGUGAGCCGAAUCGUGUCCAGCUGCGCCAACUCGAGUGGCCUGGCCGUGGCCCUCGUCGACGCCAACGCCGUCAUCUCGCGCUCGCCUCCACUACGGGCCGGCUGAUCACGGUGCUCGAGGAGGUGUGCGACGCUGCAGCGUGCCGGAGGCUCGCGCUCCUGCCCACCCCCGUCGAGACCGUCGAGCCAGCCCCUGAGUUCGUCAAGAGAGUAGGGCCAGCUUGAACCGUGUGCACCAGGAAGAAGACCAGCCCAAAGUUGAUGAAGGGAGACAACCAACAGGAUGCCCUGCAAAUCAAUUUCGAGCAAGGUGUGUGUAGAUUCAGAAAUGUUCAGACUGAGUGUUCACCGAAUUAGUAAAUCUUGUCUUUCCUAAAAACUGAAUUUGUAUAUUCAGUCUUUGCUGAAUGCCAGCUUCCAGAGUUUAAAUGUUCAGUCUUGUCUUCCCUAAAAACUGAAUUAGUAAAUCUUGUCUUUCCUAAAAACUGAUCAUGUCUUCGAACAAGGUGCAUAUGCCAGUGUUGUGUUAACACUUAACACUGAAUGUUCAGUCUUGACUUAGAAUGUUCACCGAAUUUGCAAAUCUUGUCUUCGAACAAGGUGCAUAUGCCAGUGUAAUCCCAACAGCAAACUGAAUUACUCUGAAUAUUCAGAAAAUAUGAUGUUAGAAAAGAUUGUGAAUUACUCUGAAUAUUUACAUGGAACAGCAAACUGAAUUUUUUUGACCAUUUGACCUGGUGUAAACCGUAGGCAAAGCUGUUUGGAUCCUCAAAUACAGGUGUAAUUAAAAGAGCAUGUACCAUUACCAUCUGCAGCAUCUCAAGAAAUUCAAAAUACGGGAGGCUGUGCGGCGCCGAGUGGAUGUACGGCGAGGUUUUCGUAAUGGCGUCAAGUCACCCUUGCCAUAUGGAACAUCUGAGGAGCAGCAGCAGCACAAGGAGCAACUCCUUACAGUACAAUUUUGGAGUACUCUUGGUGUAAAUCAACUUCACUAAUUUUCAGUUGACACAGGUUCAGAUCAAUCAGCCACAAUCAGUCCAUUGUUCAGGAAGUACCUGCAGCCAAUGCAGUCGCCGACAUCAGCAGCAGAUGCAGUCGCCAACAGCAGCAACAGGUCCGCGCGGACUCGAUCGGGCGGGCUGCAGCGGCAGCAGUAGGUGGCGGGCGACGGCAGCGGCAGGUGGCGGACGGAUGGCAGCGGCAGCAACAGGUCCCGCCACCUGGGAAGACCCGCGUGGCCCUGCCUGCGGAAGUCAGGGAGAGGGGAGCGGCGGCUGGGGUUGCCGCAGGCACGAGGAACCUGCGCCGGCGAGGAGGGCGACGAGGAGGAGGCGCCCGUCGAGGUGGUCGCCUUGGAGGAGCAGCUGCAGUCGGGGUCGGGCUCCUUGGUGGAUGGAUCGGGCGACGGAGGAAGGAGGAAGAAGCUGAGGGGGGGCUGAUUUGCAACAGUUUACGACGUAGAAGAGGUUUUUUGCAAAAUUAGAGUUGAACUAAGUCGCGGACAACUUUUCCCGGACGGAGGGAGUAGUAGGAAACAAUACCGGAAGCAGAGUAGCAAACUCGGUUUACGCACUGCAAAGAAGAGCUGUCUUUGCACGACACGCACCAGGAGACUCCCUAGUCAGACUAAGCGCUGAUGAUUGGCAAUCAAGUACAGACAGUUGAGUCCAGCAUCUACAGGAUGCGGGAUGGAAGUUGGUUCAGAAUAUAAAUGGAUGAGGGAUGUUAAUUGGUUCAGGCCCUGUUUGUUUGAGCUUUUGCUUUUGCAGCUUUUUCAUUUUGGCCAAAAAGUUAUA